rnacentral:lncRNA from 1 species
AAGACUUGAAUAAAGGGAGAUGGCUAGUGGUUUUGGCGUAGGGCCAAUAGCUUAUGCCCAACGUUGUUUUUAUGUUUUUUUUCUUUGUUUUUCAUCAGAUUAACGUUAGGGCCACUCACCCCCUGGAAAUGAGAAGAGAGAAUUUGAUAUUAUAAAAGAGAUUUUUUUUUGGCACCAUAGAUGUUUCUAAUGCACUAUGUGAAUUU